UCAUCCUCUACUCGCCUUGAAAAUCAAAGACAUCUCCAGCUAAGAGAUUGUUUGUUUAAGUGAUUUCGCGCUGGACGCUGAAUCUUCAACUCCUGAAUUCAAAAGAGCUGUGAUCACCCAUUUACAUGUAAAUUCUUUUUUUUCUGGCUUCAUCUCUUCUUCUGUGUGUUCUUUCUCCGUUCUUGGACCCGGGCCGGGCCUGCAACAGUUUAGUAGGUUCCAUGGUCGGAGUCUCAGAGAUUAGCAAUAGUUUGCACCAAGUCAAAUGAAGCAAAUUGAACCAGUUUAACCAGGGCAUAUCCCUGCUUGAACCUUGACGAGAACAUCCUUGAACUGUCUUCGAUACCGACCGAAAUCAUAAUACUGUUCGACCGGAUGGCCGAGAAAUAAAUUCCUGUGGGAUUCCUUAUUCAGCAGGAACUACACUCUAUUUCUCGAAGAAUAUUGAACUGAGGAAACAACAAAAUGACCCCUUACUACAAGAGGAGACUCAUGAUAUUGCUCACUUUUACAGGGAUGAUAAUGUACUUUUCAUUUACUCUGAUGUCUUUCUCGAGGGAGAGCAACGUAGCCCAGCCAUUCCCUCGACCAAGCAAAAAUACGGGCCAUGAUGACGGCGCUUCUAGAAUUGAUUCAUUACAUCAUGAACGGGAACACCACGUCUUUCAAUAUGGGAACACCACCAAAUUUAGCGCUAACACUAGUGAUUCGUCUCGCGGCUCCCCUUUCAUAUUGAAGCAACCAGUGGCUGGUUGGAGGCAGCGACCUCGGAAACACCUUAAAACAGAAGCUAAAGAUCACCACGUACCAUUGUCAAAACGGAAAGCCGUAGCGGUUACGACUGCGAGAAUAUCUCAAGACAUUUUAACAAAUCUGUCACUCAGUUUUCAAGCUUCUCAACUCCGUUUCGAAAGGGAUAUGGCAAAGUAUGGUCAGCAGGAGAUUGGGCAGCCAGUACGGUACACGAGAGAGAACAUUCCUGCAGAUUUACGUGCCCUGGCACCAAGUUUAUUCAGCCAAUUUCCGCGGAAAUUCUUACCUGAUUACAAGAGCCCGUGCUGGAAGUUUCAUAACGAAACCACCA